AUUUUGGUGAUGCAGGUGUCCGAGCUGACUACCCAGGUAGAACAUCUGUCAUCACCCACUGCGCCAGUCCCACCGCCUGUCCCUCAUCAACUUCUUCCCGUGACCAGUCAUCACGAGCCUUGGAUACCGACACCUGAAAGAGGAAUCCAAGGUGGUGUUAGUCAUGACUUUACUGUCUGGACGUGCGGCUCUGUGGGGGACAGCGGUGCGGGAGAACCACCAUCCUUGCUGCUCCUCGUUCACUACACUCUCUCUGGAAAUGAAGCGGGAUAAGAUGCACCCAUGAGGAGCCAGUGAACCUGUCCAACGUGCCAGAGGACUACCUCGACCUGAAGGGAGUGUUCAGUAAGUCCCGGGCUGCUUCACUUCCUCUGCAUCGUCCCUAUGACUAUGCCAUAGACUUAUUGCCAGGUACCUCUCC